rnacentral:lncRNA from 1 species
AGGUGUUUAAAAUGAGAAAACACUCAAUAUGGGGUGUGUACAGAUGAAAUUAGACAGGGCUUUCUCGUCUCUUUUUCUCUUACAAAUGGCCACCCCAAGCUCUAUAUUUAUAGAGCUGGGAACCGCAGGUGUACCUGCGGUAGCCGCAGAUGCACCUACGGUUGCCCGGGAUUCCCCGGGCUCCGCGGGUCCUGCCGUCUCGAAGUACGUGUACUUGUGCACUGUGAUGUCAGCUCGAACUUGCAAAACUUCAAUCCGAGCAUCCGAACGAGGUGUACAAGACCAUCUUCGGACUGCUUUUGUCAAGAGUUAUGCAAUGACAUGGGGUUAGAGGUUGUACGAAGUCAAGAAGAGGGGACCAUACCCAUGGUCUUCAAACUUCAAAUUCUAUCCGGUGUGCUGCCAUGCGUAAUAGUCACUCAGGAUUGGAACUCCUUGGCUUUUGUGGGACAUUGCUGUGUAGAAAUGUAUGUAUGAAAUGCUGAGACGGCGUGCAGGGGUUGAGGUGGUAAGAUGACAAUUUGACCCCUCACCGGGGUUAUCUCCAGUUUGGGCUGAUAGCAAACGUUGCUCAGGGUUACAUCUGAGAUUAGACUGCUGCAAGUGUUUGAAUUCUGCAGGGUCAUCUGUAAGUGUGCCUGUCAUCCCGGUGUUAGCUCCGGGUCAUUGGAAUGAGUGCCUCGGUAGGAGGUUUGAGAUUGAAGUUGAUCGCAUGCAUUUGAAACAAGCAUUUCUAGAGUUAUCACCGGAACUGCAAUGGCAUUCCCUGGAGUUAUCUCCAAGGAUGAAACUCGGGGUUAUAUCCGAGGUUGGAAUUGAGAUUCUCGGUGUGUGUUCCGGGGUUGAGACUGAACUUUUGGUAGUAUCGGUAAUGGAUGUGAUCUGUCUUCUAGGGUUAUCUCCAAAAGACAAAUCUGCCCUCCUACAAUGUCAGUAACAGGUGUGCAGAAAAUUUUGAGUGUCUACAGAUGCCCUCUUUAUAAUAUUCAUGCAAUGCAAGGCAUGGAUAGGAUAAAGAAUCCUAGACAUUUGAAAUGCAAUAAGAUAAACAUGAU